rnacentral:misc_RNA from 1 species
GAGAGAGAGAGAGAGAGAGAGAGAGCAGAAUUCAGGAAAGGAUUCGAUAGAGAAGAGAAUCCGAUCAAGGAGAUGGGCAGAAGAGAGAGAGAAAGAGAGGGGCUUGUGGAAUUCAGGGAAGACUCAUAUGACUGAUAUGAGCAGAAUCAUUCCCUCUUUUUUUCUGGUUUAUAUAAAGAGAGUGAAAAUUAGAGAGAGAGAGAGAGAGAGAG